rnacentral:lncRNA from 1 species
CAGCUGAGGUAUGCAGCACUGUAUUGGGAUGUUUACUAUUUGACCACACCGAAUUAUAUAUAUGUGGGUCUAGGAGAAGAGCAUGAUGAUUUAGUUGCUGGCACAUUUCUCAAGGAAACUGAGGAGUGCCCACACAAGAAUAUCUGCUCCCAGCCCAACCUGGCUGAAGUGAUUAGACUGCUCAGGGAUCAUCACAGGAGUUCUGGGAGAAGACAAGGGGAGGAAGAUAAUGGCAGUAAGAUAAUUUCUUCUGUGUCAAAUCACAACUCAGUAUUCAAAUGGGCUGGCAAACGAAAACCUAAAAUAAGUAAACUUCCUACUGUGAUGAAGAAGAGAUCUUACUGUUCUGUUAUCAAGCACUUUGAGGUAUGCUUAGUGAAGCCGGAAUGGUAUUCGUUGUGCAAGGGAUCAGUAGUGAAGAGUUCUUGCAAUUUUGUUUCUGUUACACUUUUAAAUAAGUCUGAAUUAUAUUUUUACUACAUUUACCACAAAUCUUGAGGGGGGAAAGGAAAUGCUUUGUAUUUGUGAUACAGAAGCUAACAGUGAGAAUGCAGUUUUCAGUGGCUGUGAGAGUAGCUGAGGAACUUGUGAAGGGAAACAAUUCUCUCUUGACACAAGCGCCUGCCAUCCCAGGGGCAGAAGGCACCAUUAGAUGAAGGCCAGGACUGUGCUAAGAUUGCUGUACCUGGCCCUUGUUCACAGCUGGAUGGCAGCCAGUGAACUUAAAGUGUGGGAGGAGCACCCUCCGUCUGUCCGCAGCUCUCUGUAUGGGUAUACCCUGAAGCUUCCUGGAAGCAGCUUCCAGCUUCCUCAAUUUUCAGAGCUCAUACAGGCUUAUAAAUGCCUAUGGGGUACUUUUAUCUACAAUAUUUAAUUAUUAUUUCCAAGCUAAGGAAUAUCAAAAUGCAGUAGUAGCACAUUCUUAUUUCUCUCAAUUUCUCUGUCCUGGGAACCUUAGACAAACACUUGAAUUUUUCAUCACUGAACUUCCCCCCAACACUUAGCAAGUCUCAUCAAGUGAGAUACAGGGUCACUCCACUUCCUUACAAGUUUCAAAGCAGCCAGGAAGAAUGGGAGAGGUUCACUGUGCAUGCUUUUUUUGUGGGAUAUGGGGUUCAGAAGGAAAGUAAGCAUUCCUGGAAACUAAAAUAAGAAGAAAAAAAAUGCCAAAAUAGUUAAGCCUUAGUAUGUCAUUCAGCAAGCUCUAGCACACAGCUCAGAUAGAUCUAGUGGUUUGGGAACAGCUUGUAUGGUGUGGUGUUGGGAAGAGAACCACUGAGAGACCCUGUCCUUCUGAAGAGCUGCAGAACACCUCCUGGGUUCCUCCUGUUGGCCACCAGUGCACACACCUCAGCUGCACGAUUUGGGACAAGAGAUGUGAAAAGCAUUUGAAAAAGCUCAAAAGAGCAAGAAAACAGGAGUCAAGUCCUUGACAUAUUUUUGUUGAACCAUACACGGCACCAGACAGCAAUACACUUGGAAGUAUUUUUGUUCUCAU